rnacentral:rRNA from 1 species
GACGAACGCUGGCGGCGUGCUUAACACAUGCAAGUCGAACGGAAAGGCCCAGCUUGCUGGGUGCUCGAGUGGCGAACGGGUGAGUAACACGUGGGUGAUCUGCCUCUAACUUCGGGAUAAGCUUGGGAAACUGGGUCUAAUACCGGAUAGGACAAUUGUUUAGUGUCGGUUGUGGAAAGUUUUUUCGGUUAGGGAUGAGCCCGCGGCCUAUCAGCUUGUUGGUGGGGUAAUGGCCUACCAAGGCGUCGACGGGUAGCCGGCCUGAGAGGGUGGACGGCCACAUUGGGACUGAGAUACGGCCCAGACUCCUACGGGAGGCAGCAGUGGGGAAUAUUGCACAAUGGGCGCAAGCCUGAUGCAGCGACGCCGCGUGGAGGAUGACGGCCUUCGGGUUGUAAACCUCCUUCGACAGGGACGAAGCUUUGGUGACGGUACCUGUAUAAGAAGCACCGGCUAACUACGUG